AUUGAACGCUGGCGGCAGGCCUAACACAUGCAAGUCGAGCGGAUGAAGGGAGCUUGCUCCUGGAUUCAGCGGCGGACGGGUGAGUAAUGCCUAGGAAUCUGCCUGGUAGUGGGGGAUAACGUCCGGAAACGGGCGCUAAUACCGCAUACGUCCUGAGGGAGAAAGUGGGGGAUCUUCGGACCUCACGCUAUCAGAUGAGCCUAGGUCGGAUUAGCUAGUUGGUGGGGUAAAGGCCUACCAAGGCGACGAUCCGUAACUGGUCUGAGAGGAUGAUCAGUCACACUGGAACUGAGACACGGUCCAGGCUCCUACGGGAGGCAGCAGUGGGGAAUAUUGGACAGUGGGCGAAAGCCUGAUCCAGCCAUGCCGCGUGUGUGAAGAAGGUCUUCGGAUUGUAAAGCACUUUAAGUUGGGAGGAAGGGCAGUAAGUUAAUACCUUGCUGUUUUGACGUUACCAACAGAAUAAGCACCGGCUAACUUCGUG
rnacentral:rRNA from 1 species